UGCUGCAAAGACAAUGUCGCGGGAGGAGGAGAGAUUAGAGCUAGCUUGUGUGCAUCCACGCUAGCACCCAGGGAACAGCCCCACGCACGCAUUCACAGGGAAGCCAGGACACGGUGCUCAAAAUUGACGCUCCCAGAACGCACGUCCGGGCACCUGCUGUGCGUCUGCACCCGCUUGCGAGAGACGAGCUCAGCCAUGGCACAACACUUCCUUUGUGCACCUUCACAAGCCAGGCUGCAGGGAAGGGACCACGACAAGGUGCCUGCAGAACCAACCUAUUUCCCCACAGCCAGUCUGCAAGCCUUUUGGUGUUCAACGGAAAACUGACCCCAGCGGAAAACAACUUAAAUGCCCAAACCAGGCAUCAUGUAUCAACUUCAGCUGUGCAAGCUAUGGGGUAUCCCCCAACAAUAAAACCAAUGUAUUCAGAAGGUCCCCAGUGAAAGGUUUGGUCACAUUUUGCUACAAAAUGGACAACUCUGUUGGCCUUUUGCUCUGAGGCUGAAGCCACAGCAAGUGGCUCCAAAAACAAUCUUCACCGCACCAUUGAGGGAAAAUUUAACCAACUGUGCCAGUCCAUGAGGAACAGAAAUGCUGCCCAACACUUGCAGUUUUUUGAUCCUGUACAAGUUGAGAACACAAGCCACCAAACCAGGCACAGCUCCCAGAUGCCGUGCAGUCACUACAUACUCACACUGGGCAUUAACUCCUUCCAACCCUGCGACAGACAGCAUGCGGGAGGCAGUGCUCCACUGGCACUGAGUCCAACUAUCCCUAGGUCCUGAACCCAACUCUUGCCCCCAGCCAUGCUCACAUCACCGAGUGCAGGGGCCCUGUACGAUCCCUCAGUAACACGUAUGUGGAAACAGAGGGCUCUAAUCCAACUGUCCUGAGAAGGGGGUUAAAGGAGACAAAAAAUGUAAAUGCCUCCAAUAAAAGGACACCUCUGCCUGGACGGGGAGUAGCCAUCGUAUUGCUCUGCUGUGUACCCCAGACAUGUCCCAGUCACUCACUUGCCCAACGCUUCCCAGGCCAGUUUGCCAUUACUUUUCCACUGCCUUCUGUUCGAUCAAUCAUUUCAACGCUGCUCCGCUCCCAGAGGGCUGCUUCUCCUGCAACAGCCAUCCAGGAGGUCUUACAGCACGUUCAACCCUGAUAAAAUAAUACUUCUGUCCUUUAAAAGGCAUCACCAAGCCUUCUCCGACCCCCUGCUUCAGGCCAACCGUACAACAGUGGCAUCCACCAAGGUCCGAUUCUGCAAUGUGGAUGAGCUCUGGAGACGACAUCGCGAGGCUUUUGAUCUGCAGGACGAAGGCGUUAUUUUGAGCCUGCCUCUUGUUACGGCACUGAAACAGAUGUCCCACAGGCACUCUCAGCUGGGAGUUCAGUUCUUUGAGCUGCAAAAUUUGCCUGAAACUGUCCGUGUUCCUGUGCUGACAAACGAGACCAGAGAUCUUGCCUUGAUAAACCAUUUUGAUGCUCAAAUUUAAAACCAAAGCAAUGAUUUUUCAUGUUGCUACUAGGGUUUCAUCGACAGCGGCACCAGGUGCCUAAAGCAGUGACAUAUUUCUCACUUCCUGCAAGAUCGGCUGAACGGGGCGUUUUACACAUUCCAAUUCAAAACCAGCUCCUUGUUUCCGUUUCUACGUUUCCUCUCUUCAGGGAACUCUUACUCUAUUGGACUGGCUCCACGCGGAGAUAUUCCUACGACUAGUCCAAGGCAGGUGGGAAGCGUCUCCGUGUUAACGAUGGGGAACGGAGGCAGAGGGACUCAGUUCUUUUCCGAAGGUUACACAGCACUAGGAACUGCAUCCAGCCCUUCCAGUCUUAACCACAAAGCGACCCUGCCUCCCUGCUGAGGAAGCUCGGUUCCACCCAGGAAGGGAUACCGAAGCAGGAGUUCAAGCUGCAAGAUACUCCAAGUUUCCCACAUCCAGCCAGCCUUCACUCAGGACAGGUCAUUCCUCAAGCUACAGAGGAAUAAGAGACAAAUCACAAAUCUCUCAAGCAUACAAGCUUCGAAGAACGGAUUGGGCAGGCAAGUCACCAGCACACGUCUGUCUAGUCCUCACGAGCGAUCUAAGUGCAGAGGAACAAAAGCAAGUCGUUGGCGUCCAGCAACGUAUCCGACAGCUGGGGAGAGAAUGCUGCUUGUCAGCAGAUUUUUGGUUUGAAGACCUGGGAUUCAUUGCUGUCUGAAAUCUCAGAUUUCCAUCUCUGCAGGGCAUUUGUCUUCAUAACCUACUUCAGUCAGCUUCAGGUUUUUUAGGUAUAACUUCUAUGUCAGAUGCUGCAGCAAGUUUUGUUUUAAUGGUAAAACUGAAGAAUAAUUCCUCUUUAGUCUUCCUGAAGCUUUCUUACUUGAGUAAAACCUUUGUAUGGAAUCCAGUUAAGCCUCAAGAGAAUCAGAGUCAAUUAAAUUGGAAGUGGUGGGCACCUUUCAUACAGCCAUGGUGCAGACUUCAAUUCAGGUCACUUGAGAAAGGUUUUUUAAAUUUAUUUCUAAAGAAUCUGUUUUUCCAGAGCUAUUGAUUCCUUAUGCUAAUCAUCCCAUAAACAGGUUGAGACAGCA